CUCAGGACGAACGCUGGCGGCGUGCCUAAUACAUGCAAGUCGAACGCACGAAGUUGAAGAGCUUGCUCUUUAACCAAGUGAGUGGCGGACGGGUGAGUAACACGUGGGUAACCUGCCCAUUAGAGGGGGAUAACAUUCGGAAACGGAUGCUAAUACCGCAUAGUUUCAGGAAUCGCAUGAUUCUUGAAGGAAAGGUGGCUUCGGCUACCACUAAUGGAUGGACCCGCGGCGUAUUAGCUAGUUGGUGAGGUAAUGGCUCACCAAGGCAAUGAUACGUAGCCGACCUGAGAGGGUGAUCGGCCACACUGGGACUGAGACACGGCCCAGACUCCUACGGGAGGCAGCAGUAGGGAAUCUUCCGCAAUGGACGAAAGUCUGACGGAGCAACGCCGCGUGAGUGAAGAAGGUUUUCGGAUCGUAAAACUCUGUUGUUAAAGAAGAACAAGGAUGAGAGUAACUGCUCAUCCCCUGACGGUAU
rnacentral:rRNA from 1 species